rnacentral:tRNA from 1 species
AGGAGUGUAGCUCAAUUGGUAGAGCGCUGGUCUCCAAAACCAGAGGUUAUAGGUUCAAUUCCUAUCUCUCCUG